rnacentral:rRNA from 1 species
AUUUGACUCAACACGGGGAAACUCACCAGGUCCAGACACAAAUAGGAUUGACAGAUUGUGAGUUCUUUUUUGAUUUUGUGGGUGGCGGGGCAUGUCCGUUUUUAGUGGGUGGAGUGAUUUGUUAGUUUAAUUGCGAUAACGAACGAGACUUUAACCUGUUAAAUAGCCCGUAUUGCUUUGGCAGUACGCUGGUUUCUUAGAGGGACUAUCGGCUCAAGCCGAUGGAAGUUUGAGGCAAUAACAGGUCUGUGAUGCCCUUAGAUGUUUUGGGCCGCACGCGCGUUACACUGACAGAGCCAGCGAGUACUUCCUUGGCCGGAAGGCCCGGGUAAUUUUGUUAAAAUCUGUUGUGCUGGGGAUAGAGCAUUGCAAUUAUUGCUUUUCAACGAGGAAUCCCUAGUAAGGGCAAGUCAUCAGCCUGCGUUGAUUAAGUCCCUGCCCUUUGUACACACCGCCCGUUGCUACUACCGAAGAAGGCUCAUAGAGGCUCCUGGGAGUCC